rnacentral:rRNA from 1 species
CGGCAACAGCUCAAAUUUGAAAUCUGCCCGCAAGGGCCGAGUUGUAAUUUGUAGAGGAUGCUUUGGCAUUGGCGGCGGUCUAAGUUCCUUGGAACAGGACAUCGCAGAGGGUGAGAAUCCCGUACGUGGGCGCCUGCCUUUGCCGUGUAAAGCUCCUUCGAC